AGUAACACGUAGGUAACCUGCCCAUGUGCCCGGGAUAACUUCUGGAAACGGAUGCUAAAACCGGAUAGGUAGCAGACAAGCAUUUGACUGCUAUUAAAGUGGCUAAGGCCAUGAACAUGGAUGGACCUGCGGUGCAUUAGCUAGUUGGUGAGGUAACGGCCCACCAAGGCGACGAUGCAUAGCCGGCCUGAGAGGGCGGACGGCCACAUUGGGACUGAGACACGGUCCAAACUCCUACGGGAGGCAGCAUG
rnacentral:rRNA from 1 species